AUGUCUCAGCUGAGUCUCUGGCGCCGCCACGGUGCUAAGAGAGCCCCGCAAUUACUCCUUCCUUGUAGAUUAUCGUUAUCAUCAGUUACACACUUGAAUCGAGAUCUUAACAGUAUUGACCUCACGAAGGAGGAAGAAGCGUCAGCAGCGCAGAUCAGGAGUUCCCUUUUGAAGGCACGCAAUGGAAAUGUGCAGGAUUUGGUUCAGUCCCUUGGGGUUGACUGUCCGGGAAUUCAGCUUACAAGUAACACUGUGGACAGCUUGUUGUGUAAGUUUGGGGAUGACUGGAAAUCUGCUUUUGGUCUAUUUCAGUGGGCACAGUUGAGUGGCAAUUACAAGCACACGGCAUAUGCUUGUAGUCGGAUGAUCGACUUGCUUGGGAAGAUGAGGCAGAUUGACCGGAUGUGGGAUCUAUUGUCUGACAUGCACUGCAGAGGCCUUGUGACUGUCGAGACAGCUGCGAAGAGCAUCAGGAGGCUGGCAGGUGCAAGGAGAUGGAAGGAUGCUGUCAUGUUGUUCGAUAAGCUGGAGGACAUGGGGCUGGAGAGGAAUACAGAGACUAUGAACGUUCUGCUUGAUGCACUUUGGAAAGAAAAGAAGGUUGAAGUAGCACGCAAGGUCUUUCUCGUGCUCAGUCCGCACAUUCAGCCUGAUGCAUACACAUUCAACAUUUUCGUCCAUGGCUGGUGCAGUGCACGUAGAAUCGAGGAGGCAAAGUGGACAAUUGAGGAAAUGAAAGCCCGGGGGUUUGCGCCUUCAGUUAUCACCUACACUGCUGUCCUUGAAGCUUACUGCAAGCAACACAAUUUUAGGAUGGUCUAUGAAAUUCUUGAUUGGAUGUGUUCUGAAGGCUGCCAUCCAAACGUCAUUACUUACACUAUGAUCAUGACCUCACUGUCAAAAUGCCAUAUGUUCGAAGAAGCUCUGAGUGUAUCUCAUAGAAUGAAGUCCUCUGGCUGUAAGCCCGAUACGUUGUUCUACAAUUCCUUGAUUAACGUGCUCGGUAAUGCGGGCUAUCUGUCUGAAGCUUCCCAGGUAUUUCAAGUGGAGAUGCCAAUGAAUGGCGUGCCCCGUAGUUUGGCUACCUAUAACACCAUGAUAUCAAUCUUUUGCCAGAAAGACCGAGAUGAAGAUGCUCUCAAUGUGCUGAAAGAAAUGGAGGCGCACUCUUGUAAGCCUGAUCUUCAGACAUAUCGGCCACUUCUCAGACUGUUUUUGAGUAGAAGAGGCCAAGCUGAUUCCAUUCGGAACUUGUUGAAUGAGCUGAUCAAUAAACAAAGUCUAUGUUUAGAUGUGGAUACAUACAGUCUUCUGAUCCAUGGUCUUUGUAGGGUGGGUGAGACUGACUGGGCAUAUCAACUGUUUGAAGAGAUGGUUGGUAGUGAGAUAGUGCCUAGGUAUAAAACAUGGGAGUUGCUUUUGGAUGAAGCACAAAGGAAAAACAUGGAGGGUCGUGUCGAAAGAAUUCGAAGUUACAUGUCUUGUUUUGGUAUUUCUGUUUAA
rnacentral:rRNA from 1 species